AUGUUUGUCAGUACUUAUAAAAUGUACAAUGUAACAGAACAGAACACACUGUACCCCCAAUACACACUGUACCCCCAAUACACACUGUACCCCCAAUACACACUGCACCUGGGCCGAGACCACUCUGUACCUCCAAUACACACGGCUCACUUUCUCAACGUGUACUCCAACUUAAAUGACUUUGUACAGAAGAGCAGAAUCAGCUUCAAUUCCAUUUACAUCCAUGGCUAAUUAAAUAAGUGAAGUGGACAUCCAUCGAACGAGUCUCCCAUGUCAAGUUUAGUUGACUGGCAUUUGAAAUGGAAUUGACCCCACUCUUUUUAAUAUAGUUUGGUUAGAAAGAUAAAAUAACCCUGUAAAGUCGUUCAAAAGAAGAAGAUUGUACAGACAGAGCAUAUUGGCUUUGCAUCAUGAUUAUUUAUAAAAAGUGUAUUUAGUUUGGCGAGGGAGUGCUGUCAUAUUGGCCAGGUAAUAUAUCUAGGACCAGGGAGUUUUCCCUAAACUUGGGCCCUAGAUAUUAGUUAGUAGCUAUUACUAGGGUCCAGAGUUUUUCCUGGUUAGGUCACGAGGUCAAGAAAAACGCUAGACCCAAAUUGAACAUUGGCGAUCAAGUUAACACAUGGACCUCUAUUUCAAGCAAUUAAUUAUACCACAAUAAUAUCUUAUAUUUACUCAUGGUAAAUAUGUGUUUCAAACAGUACCUUAUUCCCUAUUUAGUGGACUACUUUAGACCAGAGCCCUAUGGGUAGUGCACUACUUUAGACCAGAGCCCUAUGGGUAGUGCACUACUUUAGACCAGAACCCUAUGGGUAGUGCACUACUUUAGACCAGAGCCCUAUGGGUAGUACACUACUUUAGACCAGAGCCCUAUGGGUAGUGCACUACUUUAGACCAGAGCCCUAUGGGAAAACGUGGUCAACAGUAGUGCACUAAAUAGGGAAUAGGUUGCCAUUUGGAACGGAUCAUCUCCGAUUUAUUACCCCCAAAUAAUUCCAAACCACAUUCAUCUCAGAUGCCUACACAAGAAUGGUAGGACUAAAUUAGUCAAAUAUACAUAUAUAUAUUUCUUAAAGACAUAUAGGAAAGUCAACAUAACAUUUGUAAAUAAUUAUACUUAAAUAAAAACAACAGACCCUUGUUUUAAUAUAGGUUGGUCCCCAUCCUGUUUAACAUCACUUUCCAUCUCAUCCAUUUUAUGAAGGUGCGGUGGUAUGGGUGCGUCCCAAUAUUCCCACUCUGGUGCACAGGGCUCUGGUCAAAAUCAGUGCCCUAUAUAGGGAAUAGAGUGCCACAGGGCUCUGGUCAAAAUCAGUGCCACAGGACUCUGGUCAAAAUCAGUGCCCUAUAUAGGGAAUAGAGUGCCACAGGGCUCUGGUCAAAAUCAGUACCCAAUCCUCUAGCCUAAGGCUACUACUACCUAGUAAACCACUAGUACACAGCCUCUAGGUCCUACAGGCUACUAUCUACCUAGUAAAACACUAUUACACUCCUCUAGCCUACUUGUAGGACCUCUUACCUAGUAACCACUAGUACACUCCUCAGCCUAUUGGUUCACUCUCUCUGAGUCACAAAGGAUAACCCUAUUCGUGUGUGUGUAUUAAACAGUGGUUUGACUCCUUUCUUUCUCUAUAGGUUAUUGCUGACAGUGCGAUUGACACACACACACGGGCCAACACACUUGGUUGAUUUUGUGUUUGGAUAAGCGACCUGCGAACACACCCACACACACACACACACACACACACACCCACACACACAACACACACACACACAGAGAAGGACACAGUACUGAAAAACAGCUUUCUGUAGUGUGUAGUCCAGCCUAGCUUAGGGGACAUGAAAUGCACCUAAUGGUCGUAAAUCUGUUCAGCUCUAGCAGCUUUCAUAUGUUACCGACACACUACACUGGUCUGUAAUGAUCAUGUUUUACUUCUGGUUCUGUCAAUGGCUUCCCAUCUCCUCUCCGUCUGCAGUGAUGUAUAAACAAUGGUCUGUAAUGAAUCCUGUUUUACUUCCUGGUUCUGUCUCAGUAGUCUAGCGGGGUUUCUCCCUCUCUCUCCGUCUGCAGUGUGUAUAAACACUGGUCUGUAAUGAAUCCUGUUUUACUUCCUGGUUCUGUCUCAGUAGUCUAGAGGGUUUCUCACCUCUCCUCUCCGUCUGCAGUGAUGUAUAAAAACACUGGUCUGUAAUGAAUAUCCUGUUUUACUUCCGGUUCUGUCUAACGGGGCUUCUCCAUCUCCUCUCAGUCUGCAGUGUGUAUAAACACUGGUCUGUAAGAAUCCUGUUUUACUUCCUGGUUCUGUCUAACGGGGUUUCUCCAUCUCCUCUCAGUCUGCAGUGAUGUAAAACACUGGUCUGUAAUGAUCCUGUUUACUUCCUGGUUCUGUCUAACGGGGCUUCUCCAUCUCCUCUGUCUGCAGUGAGUAUAAACACUGGUCUGUAUGAUCCUGUUUUACUUCCUGUUCUGUCUCAGUGUCUAGCGGGGUUUCUCCAUCUCCUCUGUCUGCAGUGAUGUAUAAACAUGUUGUUAAUGAAUCCUGUUUUACUUCCUUGUUCUGUCUAACGGGGUUUCUCCAUCUCCUCUCUGUCUGCAGUGAGGUUUAAAAACAUGGGUAUUUGCUUCCCCCGUCCAGUCUUUCACCUCAGCGCAGAUGAGGAAAGGAAAACUGGAGGAGAGGACACUGCGUUAAACUAUUGUGACUCAGCCCCUCCAUGUAUGAAAGAGGUUCAAAGGUCAUUUUAGCUGUGGGUCUUUUUAGGUUCAGGUUGAAGUGACCCCCAGGCACAGAUCUAGAUCUGUGGGAUCUACCUUUACCAUUAUUCCUCAACUUCACCAUUUAGGUUGGAAACCCUCUAAAACAGACCACAGAUCAGUCUGUAAAGGUGUUUUCAGCUGUUCUUUCCUUAAAUGUGCUGACACAUAGUGUCCCAAAUGACACCCUAUUCCCUAUAUAGGGCCACUGAUUUUGACCAGGCCCUGUGGCACUCUGUUCCCUAUAUAGGCACUGAUUUUGACCAGAGCCCUGUGGCACUCUAUUCCCUAUAUAGGCACUGAUUUGACCAGGAGCCCUGGUGGCACUCUAUUCCCUAUAUAGGGCACUGAUUUUGACCCGCGCCUGUGGCACUCUCAUUCCCUAUUAGGGUACUGAUUUUGACCAAGCCCUGUGGCACUCUAUUCCCUAUAUAGGGGCACCGAUUUUGACCAGACCCUGUGGCACUCUAUUCCCUAUAUAGGCACUGAUUUUGACCAGAGCCUGUGGCACUUUAUUCCCUAUAUAGGGCACUGAUUUUGACCAGAGCCCUGUGGCACUCUAUUCCCUCUAUAGGGCACUGAUUUUGACCAGCGCCCUGUGGCACUACUAUUCCCUAUAUAGGGUACUGAUUUUGCCAGAGCCCUGUGGCACUCUAUUCCUAUAUAGGGCACUUUUUGACCAGAUUCCUGUGGCACCUGAUUUUGACCAGAGCCCUGUGGCACUCUAUUCCCUAUAUAGGGCACUGUUUUGACCAGAGCCCUGUGGCACCAGAGUGGGAAUAUUGGGACGCACCAUACCACCACCUUCAUA
ensembl:lncRNA